rnacentral:lncRNA from 1 species
CUGUAGAUGCCGGAAAAUUCAAUAAAGUCGCCGAAAAAACUGAAAAUUGUCGGAAUCGAACGAAACAAGGAUGGGUAGGGUCGGAAAAUAAGGCCGACCAAACUGUCCUUCUGGAGCGAAGCCAAAAACUGGCCGGAAGCAGCCCCACGCGCCGGCGCGUGGUCUGACGCGCCGACAGCUGUGGUGGCGCGUGGCGGCGCGUGUGGAGGUAUUUGCCGGAGAAAUUUCUAGGGUUUGGUCGGAAAUAUAUUCCGAGUCUUGUGGUGGUGUUGGUUUUUGCACAACACUGAUAAUUAGUGACUUUGACGNN